GACGAACGCUGGCGGCGUGCUUAACACAUGCAAGUCGAACGGUAAGGCCCUUCGGGGUACACGAGUGGCGAACGGGUGAGUAACACGUGGGUGAUCUGCCCUGCACUUCGGGAUAAGCCUGGGAAACUGGGUCUAAUACCGGAUAGGACCCUGGGAUGCAUGUCCUGGGGUGGAAAGCUUUUGCGGUGUGGGAUGGGCCCGCGGCCUAUCAGCUUGUUGGUGGGGUGAUGGCCUACCAAGGCGACGACGGGUAGCCGGCCUGAGAGGGUGACCGGCCACACUGGGACUGAGAUACGGCACAGACUACUACGGGAGGCAGCAGUGGGGAAUAUUGCACAAUGGGCGCAAGCCUGAUGCAGCGACGCCGCGUGAGGGAUGACGGCCUUCGGGUUGUAAACCUCUUUCAGCACCGACGAGGCGCAAGUGACGGUAGGUGCAGAAGAAGGACCGGCCAACUACGUGCCAGCCGCCGCCGUAA
rnacentral:rRNA from 1 species